rnacentral:lncRNA from 1 species
GGCCUGUGCCUGAACACUCUUUGUAACCCUCGCUCUACCAGCAGCGCAGCUCAUUCUGGAAGGCAAGAAGGGAUAAUACUGAAAGUGCCUGUUUUUUUCGCAGUGUGAAAGAAGAGCCUGUGCUUUGAGGAACGCCACCUCCUUUCCUUUUGUCUGUCCUGCUGUGGGGCCUGGCCCAGCUUCUCCAAGAACUGGCUCAGACACAGUGAGAGCCCAGGACUCAGCGCCGGUCACGGGGCCUCUCAAAGGGGACUGCAAACUGUCUGUGAAGGGAGGACCAUCCCUGCCGGGAACGGCUGAGCAGCAGCUGGGAGCCCCGGGAAGGGGGUAGGGGAGGGGAGAGUUUUUCUUCCUCUAGGGUUCCGGGACACACUGUGGUGUCUUUCUGUGGCCAGAGUUGGUGGCUAGGGAAGGAAAAGGCCUCCAAGGCAUCAUUUCUUAAUCAGGAAAUAUUUUUCUUCUAGCAUCUGUUCCCCCUGAUUCUAGGAACAGCACCCUAUUUCUCUUUGGGGUGGCUCCAGGACUCAGUGUGUGGCCCAGCCUGGCAGAGCCACCAGCUGCUGUGUCUGCAGCAUGAGGUGUAACCCAGGACAUCCAAUGGGGGGACAAGGUGUAGCCCAGAGCUUCCUGCUGCAGGGCCUGAGGUCUGCACUUGCUUCCACUUGAGGGGGUCCCCCCUCCCUGCAGGGAAUCAGAUCCAAGAGAGUGGGAGACAGAUUCUUACAAUGUUGUCUGAUUGCCUUCGUCCAGCUGUGCCUGCAGCUAGAGAUCCCAGCCACGGACAGGAGGUUCCUCGCAGCUGAGCCAGCAUGAGGCACAGCUCCACCUUGGCAACGCGGUGCCCCACCUGGCUGCAGGCAGAAUCUGCAGCUGAGGGUGCAGCAGUUGUUUUUUGGUUUUUAAGAAAAAGGCUGGGCCGGGUGUGGUGGCUCACGUCUGUAAUCUCAGAACUUUGGGAGGCCCAGGUAGGAGGAUUGCUUGAGUCUAGGAGUUUGAGACCAGUCUGAGCAACAUAGCAAGACCCCAUCUCUACAAAAAUAAAAAAAACUAGGGGUGGUGGUGUGCACUUGUAAUCUCAGCUACUCAGGAGGCUGAGGUGGGAGGAUGGCUUGAGCCCAGGGAGGUCGAGGCAGCAGUGAGCCGAGAUCAGGCCGCUGUACUCCAGCUUGGGUGACAGAGCUAGACCCUGUCUCAAAAAAAAAAAAAAAAAAAAAAGAAGAAAAAGAAAAAAGAGGCUGAAAAAGUAAAGUCCUUUCACUUUCACAAGUGAAAAAGUAAAAAAGUCCUUGAAGACCUCCACAAUUUGAGUCCUUCAGUGUGAGGGCCCCUUUGAGCCUGUUAAAAAUCCAUGUUUGAAAAAAACAUACAAUAACAUUUUGCAGCUUGUUAUUUUUGUGGCACUAAUAAAGACUUAUGAGAGAUUAUA